rnacentral:tRNA from 1 species
UAGCUCAGUGGUUUGAGCGUGGUGCUGGCAACAAGGACCAACACUGAGGUUGCGGGUUCAAUUCCCGC